UUUGCAGACGUUCAUAAAUUGAUAUUUGAGAGAAAAGGUGUUAAAAGGUAGCCAAUACAUCAUUAACGAUGAUAAAUUAAAGCUCAGGGUACACUGAUAUCAAUUUUCUAUCGUCAUGUAAAGGGUACUUUGGCACAACGAUGCCUUACAAGUUGGCCUAACAGCCCGCGAAGUGUUGCGCAUUUUGAGCCAUUCAAUCGUUUCGCCGGUCUUGUAGAUAAUAAAUCAGUGUAUAAUAUGUCUGCACUCCAAUCCUGCUGCUGUGGACGGUUUGUGGAAGUCAUUUUGUGACGCAGCAGUCGCAACCAGCCAUCUUAAUGUUACAUUCGUCGGAAAUAGAAUGGAAUACGUGUUGCAGCGAUUGCAAUAUCAUACUUUUAAGGAAAAUAAACCCCGAAUCGUCUGUAAUUGGCACUUGAUAUUGUCAUUGUAUUAGAGAACAGUUAUCAAACCUGCUGAUAAAUUUACAUCAAGGGAAGCGAAAGAUUGAUUAAAAAUGUCCACCAAAUAAUGCGGCAAUAUCAUCUUUAUGAAGAAAGUGUGCAAGGUAGGAUUAGCUUAGCAUACAGUUUAGAAAGCAGGAAUGCGUUCAACUAUGGUAAAAAAUUCUGGGUAAUCUGGCGAUGGAGUUGAAUAUCUGAAUUAAUUUAAAAAAUCUAUGCCAACAAAUCAAUUUUCCUGC